UUGUGCUUGCACAGAUGACGACCGGCGCACGGGUGCGUAACGCGUAUAGAACCUACCUUUUACAGAGGAAUAGCCUUUAGAAAUGAAGAUUAAUGCCUCAUAGUAUUGUAGACUGGCAUCAGUUUAUAAUUAAAGAUUUAUCGGUAAAAGAUGGCUAUGCGUCCUAUUAGUUAGUUGGUGAGGUAACGGCUCACCAAGACUACGAUAGGUAGGGGCCCUGAGAGGGGGAUCCCCCACACUGGUACUGAGACACGGACCAGACUCCUACGGGAGGCAGCAGUGAGGAAUAUUGGACAAUGGAGGCAACUCUGAUCCAGCCAUGCCGCGUGCAGGAAGACUGCCCUAUGGGUUGUAAACUGCUUUUAUACAGGAAGAAACCUACUUACGUGUAAGUAGCUGACGGUACUGUAAGAAUAAGGAUCGGCUAACUCCGUGCCAGCAGCCGCGGUAAUACGGAGGAUCCAAGCGUUAUCCGGAAUCAUUGGGUUUAAAGGGUCCGUAGGUGGUUUAUUCAGU
rnacentral:rRNA from 1 species